CCUACGGGAGGCAGCAGUGGGGCAUAUUGCACCAUGGGGGAAACCCUGAUGCAGCGACGCCGCGAGAGUGAAGAAGUAUUUCGGUAUGUAAAGCUCUAUCAGCAGGGAAGAAAUAGCGACCUUUGGGUCGCCAGACGGUACCUGAUUAAGAAGCCCCGGCUAACUACGUGCCAGCAGCCGCGGUAAUACGUAGGGGGCAAGCGUUAUCCGGAUUUACUGGGUGUAAAGGGAGCGUAGACGGCAGCGCAAGUCUGAAGUGAAAUGCCGGGGCUUAACCCCGGAACUGCUUUGGAAACGGUGCAUCUAGAGGGCAGGAGAGGUAAGUGGAAUUCCUAGUGUAGCGGUGAAAUGCGUAGAUAUUAGGAGGAACACCAGUGGCGAAGGCGGCUUACUGGACUGUAACGGACGUUGAGGCUCGAAAGCGUGGGGAGCAAACAGGAUUAGAUACCCUAGUAGUC
rnacentral:rRNA from 1 species